UUUGGAUGCAGGGCCUCAACGAUGUCAACGCUUGAAGCCUUAGCCGUUGCACAUUCCCCUCUCAUCCGAGAGCAAUGAUCUCAGGAACUCUGUGCUGUGGCAGCCCAGUCUGUGCCACUGCAUCGUUCUCCCUGCAACAUUC